rnacentral:piRNA from 1 species
UGACAUUGAAUGAGUUCGGAUUGGCCU